AGGGGGAGUCAUAUUGUAUCUAACUCUGAGUUAUUUUCCUCUCUAUCUUGUGAAGUACCAUCAUUUCAUCAAUUGUCUGAAGUUUUUGUCAUCAUCAAAAAGGGGGAGAUUGUUAGAACAAGAUUUUGGUUCUGUGAUAAGUGCAUAUUUAUGCACAAUUCUCCUACUUUUUACUUAGGCAUUUCUUUAUUUUAUUUUGUUUAUUUUUAUAUUUUAUUAUGUUUUCAUAUUUUAUUUUAUUUUUAGUUUAAUUUAAUUUUCGCACUUAUUUUUCAGCUUUAGCAGUCUGCGCGGAAACGAUCAUAACUGGAGUUCCGGGAAUCCGUUUGAGGCGUUCUAAAAAU
rnacentral:lncRNA from 1 species